rnacentral:lncRNA from 1 species
AGGAAAAAGUGGGUUUUAAAAAAUUAAUUUUAUCACAUUAAUCAGAUGUAACUUUAGUUAAAACUGAAGCCAAAAUUCCAGCAUUUGUCAAAAUUCUAUAUAGAAGGCAGUCCCAGCUGUCUGAAUAGGAUUAUGUACACAUAAGCUGUAUGAAAUGAGCUCAUGCCUCAUGAUGUCAAGUUCUGUUUUUUGUCUGCAGUUCUUUUGUUUAUUCUCAGUUGCCAGACUUUAAAAGACUUCACUGUUUACCAUUUUAUAAUUAAGGUUUAAUUGUGUCUAUUUAAUGUGUUAUUCUGUUCUGUUCUCACAGAUGCAAACUUCGUUUUUUAAAAACAUGAUAUCUAAAAAGCAGAAUGUGCAGAGUCUUUUCUUUGCCAAGCAAAACAGUUUCCACCACGAGGCCCAGUAUGGUGGUGAGAAGAACCAGAAGGCACUCAAAAUUUAGGCCAGAAGGAUACGGGUAUGAGGAGAAAGAGAUAAUCCUUCCCACCUGCAUGCUUCCUCUUAGGACUUUAGGUCUGCCUACAUGUUGAAGAAGUUUGAGUUUUAGGCUUUGGGAGCAUUUCCUUAAAAACCAUUGUCAUGGGGGAGGAAAAAAAAAGGGUAGUGUUAAUUCUGUCUUCACACACUCAGAGAUCAUUUGGUUGGGCUACAUUUUAUGAGCUAUAUUCCAUAAAGAUGCUGCAAAGUUCAGGUAUCUGGUUUAGGAAAGAAAAAAAAAUCCCUUCUUUAACCCAAGAAAUGUAAUGCAAACAACUUGGGCCUGUGUCACUUAGUCUUCUAAGAAGACUUCAAGGCUGUUAUAAAGACCCAGUGGUGGGAGAAACCUGAUCCGGUAUAGCGGGGCCAGAAGAAGCUGCGGGACCAUGCCGCGGGGACAAGGCAAGGAGUUUCGCCAGGAUGUUGAUCUCCUGGUUAUCUACACUUCCGCCUCAGUAUGAUCUGAAUUAUUAAUGAGAAAGAUUAAGAUACAGAUUCCUUCCUUCAAGUGCCUUAGUAGUCACAGACAGGAGGUUAAUUAUAAGACUAAAAGCAAUCUUGGGUUGUUAGAAGAACUUAAAGGAAAACACCUUUCAACUUCUUGUUAUCAAUCAAUCAUUUUUGUCUUUAGAAAUCAAGAAUUUGAACAAUAACAGCUGCUUUCAGAAAUAAACCGCGACUUUGUGCAGCGUGUAUUACCUGA